GAUGAACGCUAGCUACAGGCUUAACACAUGCAAGUCGAGGGGCAGCAUGAACUUAGCUUGCUAAGUUUGAUGGCGACCGGCGCACGGGUGAGUAACACGUAUCCAACCUGCCGAUGACUCGGGGAUAGCCUUUCGAAAGAAAGAUUAAUACCCGAUGGCAUAGUUCUUCCGCAUGGUAGAACUAUUAAAGAAUUUCGGUCAUCGAUGGGGAUGCGUUCCAUUAGGUUGUUGGCGGGGUAACGGCCCACCAAGCCUUCGAUGGAUAGGGGUUCUGAGAGGAAGGUCCCCCACAUUGGAACUGAGACACGGUCCAAACUCCUACGGGAGGCAGCAGUGAGGAAUAUUGGUCAAUGGACGAGAGUCUGAACCAGCCAAGUAGCGUGAAGGAUGACUGCCCUAUGGGUUGUAAACUUCUUUUAUACGGGAAUAAAGUGAGGCACGUGUGCCUUUUUGUAUGUACCGCAUGAAUAAGGAUCGGCUAACUCCGUG
rnacentral:rRNA from 1 species